ACAAACGUUCUAUUGCACCGAAUUUAUUUCGGUGAGGAAAGUCCGGACAGCGAAGAGUAGCAUGCUUCUUAACGAGAAGAGCUGUUAGUUUAUAACAGCAUAGCUAGUGCAACAGAAAAUAACUUCUCCAACUGUAUUGGAGUAAAGGUGAAAAGGUAGGGUUAGAGCCUACCAGUUUCGGAAGUGAUUUCGAAAGCUGUGCAAACCUUAUGUGCUGCAAGAUUAUGUAAACCAAGGCUUGAGGGUUACUCGCCCAAUCUUGGAGGGUAAAUCGCUAGAUGCUAAUUGUGAAAUUAGCACCAGAUAAAUAAUAGAUUAAAACAGAAUCCGGCUUACUAAGUUUGUUUAU
rnacentral:RNase_P_RNA from 1 species